CACGUAGGGCGCAAGCGUUGUCCGGAAUUAUUGGGCGUAAAGAGCUCGUAGGCGGUCUGUUACGUCUGCUGUGAAAACCCGGGGCUUAACCCUGGGCUUGCAGUGGAUACGGGCAGACUAGAGGCAGGUAGGGGAGAAUGGAAUUCCCGGUGUAGCGGUGAAAUGCGUAGAUAUCAGGAGGAACACCGAUGGCGAAGGCAGCUUCCUGGUCCAAUUCUGACGCUGAGGUGCGAAAGCGUGGGUAGCGAACGGG
rnacentral:rRNA from 1 species